UCCUCCUUGGCCGAGUGGGUGUCCACUGCGCUCGCCUUGCACGCGGGAGACCCGGGUUCGAUUCCCGGCGGAGUUU
rnacentral:tRNA from 1 species